rnacentral:lncRNA from 1 species
GUACUAUAUAUACAGAUGAUUGCAGAACAGAGAAAGGUUUCCUCAAUGUUACUUAGUUUAGACACAGAAAAAGCAAUUGAUCGAUUAGAUUGGACAUACUUAAAUCAAACACUAGCAUAGGAUUUCAUGACACAUUUACUAAAUGGAUACAAAUAUUCUAUCAAAAUCCUAAAUCGAGAGUUCGGGUGAAUGGUCACUGCUCAGAGUUUUUUGAUUUGGGAAGGGGAAUGAGACAAGGAGAUGCUAUGUCUCCGGUUUUGUUUGCUCUAAGCAUUAAACCAUUAGCUGAGAGUAUAAGAUGCGAUCAACAUAUACAAGGAAAUACAAAUGGAGACUGUCAAAAGAUUGCUCUAUAUCCUGACGAUGUAUUAUUAUUGAUUGAUAAUCCAACUUCUUCAAUGCCAGAUGUUUUAGAUUGUCUAGAAAGUUAUAAAUCCAUACAAUAGAUAUUUAAUAACUAGACAAUAAAUCAGAAGCACUUAUGAUUAUAGAGUCUGGCCGGUAGAACUAAAUAACAGAGCAUCAUUUAGGCGGUCAAAACAGGUAUUUACAUAUUUAGGAGUUGCUAUUACACCCAGAUUAUAUCUAAAUUAAUCUGGCAGAACAGACGACCCAGAAUAAGAGUAAAAUUGGAAAAGAUAAGGGGGGGGGGCUA